rnacentral:rRNA from 1 species
CCUACGGGUGGCAGCAGUGAGGAAUAUUGGUCAAUGGGCGCGAGCCGGAACCAGCCAAGUCGCGUGCGGGAAUACGGUCCUAUUGCUUGUAAACCUCUUUUGUCGGGGAGCAAAAGACGCCACGCGUGGCGUUCCGAGAGUACCCGAAGAAAAAGCAUCGGCUAACUCCGUGCCAGCAGCCGCGGUAAUACGGAGGAUGCGAGCGUUAUCAGGAUUUAUUGGGUUUAAAGGGUGCGCAGGCGGAAGAUCAAGUCAGCGGUAAAAGUGAGAGGCUCAACCUCUUCGAGCCGUUGAAACUGGUUUUCUUGAGUGAGUGAGAAGUAUGCGGAAUGCGUGGUGUAGCGGUGAAAUGCAUAGAUAUCACGCAGAACUCCGAGUGCGAAGGCAGCAUACCGGCGCUCAACUGACGCUCAUGCACGAAAGUGUGGGUAUCGAACAGGAUUAGAUACCCGUGUAGUC